GAAUUUCACUGAUCCGUUUUCGUUUUCGAACAUCAAAUCGCAACGAUUUGGCAUGUGCCAGAAAUCGAAACCGCCAUUUGUUUUCCAUUUUGAAAUCGUGAAGCUGGCGGGCACGCGAAUUUAUUGAAAAAUAGAAGGAAACAUUAGAAAUGGGCAAGCAUAAAACGCCAAGGCAAGACGAAACUUUUUUAAGUUUUAUGGAGCAGCAUCCUGACAUUGCCAAAAAUUAUGUCAAGGGCGACCGAGUGGCAGUGGAGGCUCUUUGGGCAGAACUAGCCAAAGAAUUAAACAGCCAAGGACCACCACAAAAAGACAUCAACGGAUGGAAAAAGGUUUGGUCGGACUGGAAGGGCUGCGUACGCAAAAAAAUUGCACACAAUAAAUCGGAGACAAGAGCUACCGGCGGAGGUCCCUUCAACCAAUUUGUCUUAAGCUGCACUGAGGAAAAAAUUGCAGAACU